GGAAGUGGGUGGCCGUUACCAUAGCGACUGCCGGCGCUCCCGGCGCUUAGCUGAGCGACACACAGGAGAAACGCCCAGGACGGCGGGCCCAGGGCAGGUACAGCCUCCCGCCUUGUGUUAACAUCUGCGGAGCACUAAACUUUAUGUUUGCUACAGCCGUCUUUACGUAUAUUAGUGCGUUUCAUUCUCCUAAAGGCUGUUAUUCUCCCCAGCCUGUAAGAACUGGCAGUUAAACAACGGCUUUUCGAGGCAGCUUGCAAGUGGCACGGUCGGGUUUUGAACUCGGGCUGGCCACGGAAGCCCGCGUGGCCUUUCCCGCCCGGCUCUUGGCUCCGGCCACCCUGGCUUCCCGCCCUUCCUGCGGCUCCACCAGGAACCCCGCCGGCCUCCGCACUGACUGGUUCCUCCAGCCUGAAACCGGAGCAAAUCAAUGAUUUUUAGUGAAGUGGGUUAGAGUCGUGCCGUCUGCAGGAGAGCAUUUCCAUCAGCUUAAAAAUGGACCUGUGUGCCCAGCUGCUCCUACUCCCAGCCCUAGGGAAUCGCUAGCCUGCGUUCUGUCUAUAAAUUCACCUUUGCAGGACAUGGCAGAAAUCAGGGCAAGGGAGGAGUUAUUAGAGAAGCCUCAAGACCCAGAGGGAAGGAAGCAACGGAAGGCAGGGGCUGGAGACGAGGCGGCCAUCGGGCAACUGCGUGCCAGUCUUCACCUGCAGCUCGCGCCACACACAUGCAUGAUCUGUACCGGACGAGGCGAGGGGAAAGGCAGGCAGGAGCUAUUCUCUUCCAUGCCUUUAUGAAGCAGGUCACAGUCCUAAUGGCCCUGUCCCCAGGCUGCCUGCAGUGCCAUGUGGAGAGAGCUCACAGAGCCGCAGAGUUCGCGCUCUGCUGAACUCGCCGAGAAUCUCCCUGAAGACACCUGAGGAAUUGCCACCACUCGUACUUUAAUUUUGAACCAUGUGGAUGUCUUCUGUUUAAAAAAAAAAAAAUCAGCAAUGGUCAUGGGAAAUAGUGUUAAACUUGGAAAUUUUAAGACAAUUUAGAUAAAAUCUAAAAAUUCACCUGUAGUUCCAGAACUCAAAGAUUACCAUUGUUCUCUGGGUACACAAAACCUGGGUGGGGUUGUCUGGUUUUAAAAACAGGUCGUGGGGCUGGCACAGUGGGUUAAAGCCCUGGCCUGAAGCUCCGGCAUCCCAUAUGGGUUCAAGUCCCGGCUGCUCCUCUUCCGAUCCAGCUCUCUGCUAUGGCCUGGGAGAGCAGCAGAAGAUGGACUUGGGCCCCUGAACCCACAUGGGAGACCCAGAAGAAGCUCCUGGCUCUGGAUUGGCACAACUCCAGCCAUUGCAGCCAUCUAGAAAGUGAACCAGCAGAUGGAAGACGUCUCUACCUCUUUAAAAAAAAAAAAAAAUACUGGGGUUGUAAGAGAAGCACAAAAGCACCAUCUGUUUCCAUUUAGCAGCAGUCCAAGGGCAGCUUUCUUCCCCCAAGAGACUGCCAUAGUGAUGCCUUGUGGUGCACUGCUGCUUACUACAGCAUCGUCUCCCCUUCUUCCUGUAGUAACCAAGCUGUUUUAGGGGGUGUCACUGUGUGUGCAAGUACCGGGACUGUCUCUGCCUUCUCUGCAGCAAGGUGGGGCCAUUUGGGGAGUGAGCCAGCAGACGGAAAAUCUGUCCUGUUAGGAGACGAUGGCUUUAGCUCCAGACAGCACAUCUGUAUUGCAAGUCCCAGGCAAGGAGUGAAAGAAAUGCCAGUGUUCUAAGGUUUCCUGGCAGUGUUAUGCAAUGUCUGCAUUCACAUCCAGACAUCAUCCUCUAACAGGAGCCCGGGUCCCCACUGACGACUUAAAUAUAUACAUUUGAAAGGCGGAGGGACAGAGCUCUGCCAUCUGCUGGUUCACUCCCCAAAUGGCUGCAACCUGACCAUGAAAGACCCCAGCAAGAACUCCAGGACUCCAUCCUACUGUUUCCUUAAGUAGGAAAAGGCAGCACCUGGCCGGUAACCAUUUUGCCAGUGGGGCUAGGUAAGCCUCUUCUGUACUGGACUGAGAACUCGGGGCUAACACGGUGCAGCCAGCAGCGAUGCCUCUGCUGUCUCAGCUUACACUGGUCUUCUCACAGAGAUGUUCACGUUCUUCUGGCUUUCAUUCAUCCCGUUUUCAAUGUUUACCAUCUCCAUGGAUGUUCAAAGAGUGGCUAACAGAAAAGGCAGCAUGUGAAGCCAUCUUUAAGUCCAGUCUUAAGUUCACUGAAGAGAUAAGAAUAUGGAUUAAAAAAAAAAAAAAAACACACCAUGGCAUUACCAAAGCUUGAAAGAACUUUAUUGUGGCUGUGGCAAGGUGCGUCCUAUCCUUGGCAGGUGACACCAGAGAGCACUGAAUGCCGGUGUGAAUGAUUUGCACUUGACCCCACGGGCAUCAGGGAAUCACUCGGGAUUGUCCAGCAGAUUGAGGGCUCAGAUUUGCUAGAGAAUUCUGGUAGCAGCAAGUAUGACCCGGCACGGGGAGGCAGGCUACUGCACGGUCAAAAAACAACGAAAGCCCAACCCAGGGCAGUGGCGACGGGAACAGGAAGGAGGGCAGGGUAUGGCAGUAUCCAGAAGACAGACUACAUGAGACAACACUG